GGAGAUAGCUGGUUCUCUCCGAAAUAGCUUUAGGGCUAGCCUCAAGUGAUGAUUAUUGGAGGUAGAGCACUGUUUGGACGAGGGGCCCCUCUCGGGUUACCGAAUUCAGACAAACUCCGAAUGCCAAUUAAUUUAACUUGGGAGUCAGAACAUGGGUGAUAAGGUCCGUGUUCGAAAGGGAAACAGCCCAGACCACCAGCUAAGGUCCCAAAAUAUAUGUUAAGUGGAAAAGGAUGUGGCGUUGCCCAGACAACUAGGAUGUUGGCUUAGAAGCAGCCAUCAUUUAAAGAGUGCGUAAUAGCUCACUAGUCGAGUGACACUGCGCCGAAAAUGUACCGGGGCUAAACAUAUUACCGAAGCUGUGGAUUGUCCUUUGGACAAUGGUAGGAGAGCGUUCUAAGGGCGUUGAAGCAUGAUCGUAAGGACAUGUGGAGCGCUUAGAAGUGAGAAUGCCGGUGUGAGUAGCGAAAGACGGGUGAGAAUCCCGUCCACCGAUUGACUAAGGUUUCCAGAGGAAGGCUCGUCCGCUCUGGGUUAGUCGGGUCCUAAGCUGAGGCCGACAGGCGUAGGCGAUGGAUAACAGGUUGAUAUUCCUGUACCACCUAUA
rnacentral:rRNA from 1 species